GUGAUUGAUUAGUAAUAUUUUGCUGUACAGAAAUAUCGUCUUGGGAAAAAUCAAGUCACUGAUCAAUCUUUUGAUGACAAUAAACAAGAAGGUAAGUCGGAGUUGUGUGCAAUAGUACCUGAUGAUACAAAGGAAAAUGAAAUCUCAAGUGGCUUAUACCAGAGGACUUAUUUUGAUGCAGAAUUCAGAGAGCCUCAGAGUGAUAAGUUAUCUUUGGACAAUUGUGAGUCACGUUACAAUAACAACAAAAAAACACAGUGAAAAUUGCACAAGUGGGGUCUGGAGAGAAUAGUGUGUACGUAGACAGUGAUUGAUUAGUAAUAUUUUGCUGUACAGAAAUAUCGUCUUGGGAAAAAUCAAGUCACUGAUCAAUCUUUUGAUGACAAUAAACAAGAAGGUAAGUCGGAGUUGUGUGCAAUAGUACCUGAUGAUACAAAGGAAAAUGAAAUCUCAAGUGGCUUAUACCAGAGGACUUAUUUUGAUGCAGAAUUCAGAGAGCCUCAGAGUGAU
rnacentral:lncRNA from 1 species